UUCGUGGCGACAUGGAAUCGGAAGGGAGCGGGCGGCAAACUUUCGGACUGGGGAACACGAAAGUCAUAAGACGCUGGAUAUUAUGGAAAAGUCUGCGCACCAAAACAAAUCUCUUGUUGCCGAAGGUGAUGCUAAGUUAACGAAACGGAUGUUGGAAACGAUCCAUUU
rfam:Geobacillus sp. Y4.1MC1, complete genome.